rnacentral:rRNA from 1 species
UCGAAUUAGCUCCUCCAUCGGCUUCUGAAGAUGGGAAGUUCAGGGUUUGAGCAAGCAAAGCCACACUUGCACGUCGACUGUGCUCGGCCACCAGCAAUAACUUGGCAGAGGAAAUUCGACGAUGAAGGCAAGAAGGUUGCUAUGCUUAGCAUGACCACUGAUGUCUUGACAAUUAUACCCUUGAUUUUUAAAAUGCUUCGACUACACGUCGAAGGAAUAGCGAAAAACCAAAUUGCGGUCUAUGAUCCGCUCAGGAAAUGGAUGGACAACUGCUACCGCGGGGUACCCCUCGGCGGACUAGGUUCAGGAAGCAUAGGGAGAAGCUACAGAGGGUACUUUCAGCAGUUUCAAAUAUUCCCCAGGAUAUACGAAGAGAAGCCUAUCCGCCCAACCAGUUCUCAGCAUUCGUUUCGCGGCCCGGCGGGAAGAGCUACUCCACAGUGUUGUCGGCACCAACUGCUGAUCUCCUCAAGGGAAUAGAUAAAGCCGGUAUCGGGUCUUGGGACUGGAAGCUGAAAGAGAAGAAUUGCAACUACCAUGGCUUGUUCCCAAGAUCUUGGACUGUAUAUGAUGGCGAGCCUGACCCUGAAAUCAAGAUCACCUGCCGUCAGAUAUCGCCCUUCAUCCCUCACAACUACAAGGAGAGCAGCUUUCCCGUCGCGGUUUUCACUUUUACGGUGCAAAAUUCUGGGAGCACACCUGCGGAUGUCACAUUGCUCUUCACAUGGGCAAAUUCCGUGGGUGGAAAAUCAGAACUGACGGGGAAUCACAUCAACUCCAGAAUCAAGUAACGAGCACGACAAAAUUCGCUUGAUGCGAUGUGGUAACGGGCAGCAAACUCUCUGACAAUGACAAGGUCUUCUUCCUUGUUGCGUGCAGAGCGCGCGACGGCGUCCAUGGCGUCCUUCUACGCCACAGGACGGCGGACGGGAACCCUCCGGUGACGUUCGCGAUCGCGUCGCAGGAGACCGGCGACGUCCGCGUCACCUGCUGCCCGUCCUUCGCGAUGGGCCCGUCCAGCCCCGGCGGCCGCGACCAGUUCACGGCCAAGGACAUGUGGGACGAGGUCAAGAAACAUGGUUCCUUUGGUGAGGCCGCCGGCGGGGCGCCGAAUGCGUCGUCGGGGCCUGGAUCGUCUAUUGGGGCGGCGGUCGCGUCGACGACGACGGUGCCGGCGGGGGGCACGCGCGUGGUGUCGUUCGCGCUCUCGUGGUCGUGCCCCGAGGUGAAGUUCCCCGCCGGGAGGACCUACCACCGGAGGUACACCAAGUUCCUCGGCCUGGAUCGAGACUCCGCCGCAGAACAACUGGCUCACGACGCCCUUCUCGAACACAUGGAGUGGGAGUCGAAAAUCGACGAGUGGCAGAGGCCUAUCCUGCAGGACAAGAGGCUGCCUGAAUGGUAUCCGGUUGUACUGUUCAACGAGCUCUACUAUCUCAACGCUGGAGGCACCAUUUGGACAGAUGGGCUGCCUCCGAAGAAGACCAGCUUUGCCUCGUCAAAGUACGGGUCGACGACGGAGUCCUUCACUCUCGACGGGUUCCGCGCAGGUGAUCUCGCUGUGGACGGUAUCCUGAGCGCAAUGUCGACGGCGGAGGAGCGGCUGGAAUCAUCGUCGGCGUUCGGCGCGGCCCUUCUCGGCGACGGCGAGGAGAACGUGGGGCAGUUCUUGUACCUGGAGGGGAUGGAGUACCACAUGUGGAACACCUACGACGUUCACUUCUACUCCUCCUUCGCGCUGAUCUCCCUCUUCCCGGAGAUCGAGCUCAGCCUCCAGCGCGACUUCGCCCGCGCCGUCCUCCUCCACGACCCGCGCCCCAUGCGCACGCUCGACGGCCUCGACGUCCCACGCAAGGUGCUCGGCGCCGUGCCGCACGACAUCGGCCUGGCCGACCCCUGGUUCGAGCUGAACGCGUACAUGAUCCAUGACCCGUCGCGGUGGAAGGACCUCAACCCCAAGUUCGUCCUCCAGGUGUACCGCGACGUCGCCGCCACCGGGAAUGUUGCGUUCGCGACGGCGGCGUGGCCGGCGGUGUACCUGGCCAUGGCGUACAUGGACCAGUUCGACCGUGACGGGGACGGUAUGGUGGAGAACGAGGGCCGGCCCGACCAGACGUUCGACCUGUGGUCCGUCUCCGGGGUCAGCGCGUACACCGGCGGUCUCUGGGUCGCGGCCCUUCAGGCGGCGGCCGCCAUGGCGCGCAUCGUCGGCGACCCCGGCGCGGAGGGGUACUUCCUCGAGCGGUACAAAAGGGCGCAGCGCGUGUACGACGGCGAGCUCUGGAACGGCUCCUACUUCGACUACGACAACAGCGGCGGCGCGACUAGCAAGUCCAUCAUGGCCGACCAGCUCGCCGGGCAGUGGUACGCGCGCGCGUGCGGGCUGGAGCCGGUCGUGGAGGAGGAGAAGGCACGCAGCGCGCUGGGGACGGUGCUGGACUACAACGUGAUGCGCGUGCAGGGCGGCGCGGUGGGGGCCGUGAACGGGAUGCGGCCGGACGGCGCCGUGGACGCGUCGUCGCUGCAGUCCAAGGAGGUGUGGGUCGGGGUCACCUACGGCGUGGCCGCCGCCAUGCUCCACGAGGGCAUGCCGGAGGCGGCGUUCCGGACGGCGAAGGGCGCGCACGACGCCGGGUGGGGCAGGGACGGGUUCGGGUACGCGUUCCAGACGCCGGAGGCGUGGACGUCCGACGCCGGCGGCGGGUACCGGUCGCUACACUACAUGCGGCCCCUCUCCAUCUGGGCGAUGCAGUGGGCGCUAUCGCCGCCGGAGCUCCAUUGGGACCUCCGGGUGGUUCCGGGUUCGGUGUCCGCCGUAGCGUCGCCGGCGGAGGUGGACCUGGCGCGGGAGAAGUUCGAGAAGGUGGCGAGCAUGCUGAGGCUGCCGGAGGAAGUGCAGCACAAGGGGUAUCUCAGAGCUAUCUACCAGGUACUCCGGCAGAUGCUGCUCCCGGAAUCCUGAUUCUCACGGGUGGAACUUCCAACUUCAGCCCUGAAACAUUCCGUCGUAACGUCUAGACAAUCUCUCAGAGAGGCGUCUUGAUAAAGCAUUCCGUCUGGAAUAUCAUUUGUGGGAUCUUUUGAUUAGCACAAUUCUUAAAGCAAGCCUAUGGGGAAAUAUACGUAAAAAGACCAAUAAUCCUACACUCAUGGGCUGUUUAAAGGCGCUUUACAAAACCUUCCAAUUAAUCUUCAAUCCCCCAUUGAAUUUCACUGGGGUGGGCCCCAACCCUCUUCCUGUCUUCCGAUCGUUUUGUCCCGAAAGCAACUAGUUAACGAGUGCUCCUUAGGGUUCUCUACCAUUCGUCAUGUGUCGCGCUCUGGGAAUCCCUCCAGAUUUUGUUUUUUUAAUAUAUAUUUUGCACGCGUUUUUGGCUUUUUAAACGGAUUUUUUUAAUGUUUUGGUUUUCCAUCGGUCUUCCUUAACUUUUCGAUAAACAAAAUUCAAAAGAAAAAAUUACGCGAAAAAACUCGUUUUCUUUUUUUGUUUCGCGAGAGUCAUGGUUUUGCUUCCGCGAGAGGUACGGUUUUGCUUUCGUGAGAGUCACGGCCAUGGCUCUCGGAAACAGAAAAAACUCGUUUUUUGUUGUUUUUUCUUUCGCGAGAGUCCCGGUUUGCUUCCGCGAGAGACACGGUUGUGCUUUAGCGAGAGUCACGGCUGUGCCUCUCAAAAAUGAAAAAAAUGUGUUUUCUGUUUUUUUUCUUUUGCGAGAGUAACGAUUUUGCUUCCGCGAGAGGCACAGUUGUGUUUUCGCGGGAGUCACGGCCGUGCCUCUUGGAAAUGAAAAAAAAUACGUUUUUUGUUUUUUUUUCUUUCGCGAGAGUCACGAUUUUGCUUUCGUGAGAGGCACGCUUUCGUGAGAGGCACGAUUGUGCUUUCGCGAGAGUCACGGCCGUGCCUCAUCGGAAACGAAAAAAAAUACGUUUUCUCUUAUUCUUCUUCCUUUUCCUUCCGCGAGAGUCACGGUUAUAAUUUCGUGAGAGUCACGGGCGUGCCUCUUUCAGAAAGGAAAAAAAACCCAUACACCCGGUUCAGUUUUUUCGUCCAGUUUUUUUCAUGAAAAAAAUUCAUCAAAACCUAUUAACAUGGGAUAUAGUUAUGAAAAUCUCGACGCGAGAAAUCCAACGAUGAAAGCAGUUCGAGAUUUGAACGCACAGUUUAAGAGAUAAAACGUUUU